AACAAGACGAAAUAAACACAAAGAUUAGUUCAGACAUGGAACUAUACUAAUGGAACAACAGCUCCUAGUUUUUACUAGGGGAGUGCCGUCGCGCAUCAUUUUCACGCAUGGUGCAAUAUGGAGAAAUUCAGGAGGAUGCAAAAGAAGAAAUUUAUUCCUCCAGUCACAUGGACUGACCUUCAAUGAGAGUAAAACUUUCCUACGCUUUAUUUUAUUAGAUCUCUAAAAACUUCAUCCAUUUUCUCACAAUGUUUUGUGAUUUAUAAAAUUUUCCUGAAUAAGGGAUCGUCACAAAAGUUAUUUUUUUAAGGCCACCCCAUUAAAAUAGCUGUUUUCAGUACAUUCACAUUUGGGUAUUUUACACAAAAUCUGGAUUUUUUUUUAUGUACAUGAAAUCAUUAUCAUCUGUCCCGCGUAACUAAAUCCUCCACUUUUCCUGUCACCAAUGUUCUUAACAAGAGAGAGAGGCUGGUCCAUUAUUUGCGUAGUCCAGCCAGCUUUUCUUCUGACAAACCUUUUUUCGUUCAUUCUCUUAAAGGAUAUUUUUUUUUAAAGUUAGUCUUACAAAAUACAAUUCCAAACCAACUCAUGCAGUUAUCGUCUUUUCACAGUAUUGGAGAGUCAUCCUUUUUGCCAGCCAGAGUGUUAAUUGGCAAAAAUCUAAAUCUAGACUUCACAUCACAUGAUUAUUGAUACAGACAGUGAAUGAAACAGAUGCAGUGAUUAUAUUAUAGUUUAUACUGACUUAUAGCUCUACCAGUUGAUUAUCAUCAUCAUCAUCUCGAAUAAUAAUCUAGAAUCUAGACUACCUUCUAGACUAGAUCUAGCAUCUCUAGCUAGACUAUAACCUGUAGUUUGUAGAUCUUGGAAUUGGAUCGAAAUUCACCUUCCUAAAUUGUCUCUAAAGUCUGUAGCUGAUUUGAGAGGCCCAACGAGGCAAGAGUCUAUUACUAUUAGUACUCUUCUCUUGAUCUAUCUAGUAGGCCUACUUAGCUAGUGCAUUAGCCUUAGCCAUAGAUAGUGUAGUCAAAUCUUGACAACUAGUCUUCUAGAUCUAGAUCCAGUUUAGAUUUAGAAUAUAAAAGUAUUUUACUAGCUAAAAUACUAAAUCUACUGAUCUAAAUUCUAGAUAGAUAUACAAUAUAUAGAUCCAGUUUAGAUUUGGAAUAUAAAAAUAUUUACUAGCUAAAAUUCUAAAUCUACUGAUCUAUACUUAAUAUUUUAGAUAUUAUAUGACAUCUACAAAAAUUAUUAUUAAGAUAUAAUUAUAGAAUCUAGACUAGUUAUUUAUGUACAUAAAAUUUAUAUAUAAAUAAAAGAUAAAAUUUAUGCAGGCCUAGAUCCCAUAAAUUUAUAAUUGAUCCAGAUCUAUCAGUAAAAGUUACCUUCGAUGGGAAGUUUUACCCAAUCUAAUCUAAUCCAUGCCUCGCCUACACCCCAUACAUUAAAUAAUAGUUCCCAUUCCAUGCCAUGCCCAGACCCAUGAGUUCAUGAAAUAAUAAAUGAUGUGGUGUCAAGUUGGAUCUAUCCCCUGAAAUUCAGCACUUUAAUAUAAAACUCUCAUAUCUAGUUAAUUAUUUGCUAUGACACUCUGAUCAACUUGGACUUGUGUGAUACAUAUAUGUUUCUUAUCAGAUUUAAUGAAUGAAGUUUUGGUGCAUUUUAAGGCUACAAAAGUAUCAUCAGGUGCAUUCUAACCAUUGGUAUUUUUCCUGGCAACAUUUCUUUUCUAGUCUGUGAUAAAUUAUAAAUUUAAAAAAAUGUUUGUAAUGUUUCAGUUAUUAACAAGUAGAACCAUGCCAACCAGUUCUGAUGAUGUACCAGAAUGGCUCAAGGAUCAUACUUAUACUAUUUCUACUCUCUGGGCAGACAUUAAUAAUAUUGGCAUCCAUUCAAUAUUUAUUUUAUGUUUGGAAAUGCAAGAAAAAGGCAUGCAUUCCUGACAAGUCAAUGAUUGGUUGCACCUCUUAAAGAUAACUUUCUGUUAUGAGAAAAGAUGAGAUUCUUGGACUCCUGCAUAGCACCACCAGAAAGGAAAAUCCCAUCAUGUUGCAAAAUAAAAGUCUUGGACCAAUUUUAAUUUAAGAUAUAUAUAUUAUACUGUAAGCUCUAUACAUAUUUAUGUAUAUCCUGUCAUUCAGCCAACAGGUUUGGAUUUAGUAUUUCUUUAAAUCUGUUUGAUAUUGUACUUGAAAACUAUUAAUCUGAGCCCCAUUAAAACAAUAGGGAGUGCAGUGAAUGAGUGGUAAAGCACUUGGCUUCUGAACUGAGGGUUCCUGGGUUCAAUUAAGACUGGGAUUUUCAAUUUCAGAAUUCAAAAGGCUAGGGAUACAUGGCAAUAGUAAGGAAUAAGUAAAGGCAGUUUGGGGAUCCAUGGCUGAAUGGUUAAGUCAUGGGUUUGAAUCUCUGUGAAGACUCGGAUUAAAAAUUUUUAGAUUUUUGGGUGCCCCUGAGUCCACCUAACUCUAAUGGGUAGCUGACUUUUGUUUUGAAAAGUAAAGAUGGUUGGUUGUUGUGCUGGCCACAUGAUGCACUGGCCAAAGAAUCAAAUGACCUUAACAUCAUCUGCCCUAUAGAUUGUGACGUCUGAAAUGGGAUAUUUUUUCAAAAGGUGGUUGGUUGUUGUGCUGGGUACAUGACACCCUCGCUAACCAUGGGGCACAGAAACUGAUAAACUUUAUAUCAUCUGCCCCAUAGAUUGCAAGAUAUGUAAGGGAAAUUUUACUUUUUUAAAAUUAAAAUAAGAAUCUAUCAAAAGUAAACAUAAAAUAUGAUGUAUUCUCCUUAAAACUAAAACCUGGUGCGAAGGUUUAAAAUGUUGGCAAAAAAAAAGCAACAUCAUAUAUUCUUAAUUCCCUUUCCAAAACUUACUGAGAAGAACAUGCAUGUUGUUCCCUCAUAAGUUUCUUGACAGAGGAAAUCUUGCUUAUAUUAGAUUUGAAUUAAGCAAAUUAAGAAAAAAGAAAAAAAUUAUAAUCAUUAUUUCAAAUGGUUGUAUCUAAACCUUAUGAAUUAUUUUUCCGUUAUAAGUAUAUUGAGAUUAAUGGAUAAUCAUGAAAUUGUUAAAUAAUUGCUGCUGUCAUUCCAUUGACUAAAGAACCAUAAUUUUUUUUUUUUUUAAAUUAAUUUCAAAAUGAUUUUUUUCAAGCAUAGAGUUCACAUAGAUCUUGAGUGAAUUUUUUUUUUUUUAUUUGACUAAUGCUUCAAUUUUAUUGUAUCAUAUUAGUUGUUAAUUUUUAUUACCCAGAAUAUUUAAAAAAUGAGUACACUAUUUUCAUGUAAUAAUGUAACUUGGUAUUCACACAAUGCUCAAAAUACACCAUAAUCUUUAGGCCAUACAGAUUUGUAUAAAUUAACUUGUUUAAAUACAUUGUAAAUGUAUAUUGUUUGGAUAAGAAUAAAGUUUUUCUGUAGACAA